UACGGGAGGCAGCAGUGGGGAAUAUUGCACAAUGGGCGCAAGCCUGAUGCAGCCAUGCCGCGUGUAUGAAAAAGGCCUUCGGGUUGUAAAGUACUUUCAGUCGUGAGGAAGGUGUUAAGGUUAAUAACCUUAGCAAUUGACGUUAGCGACAGAAGAAGCACCGGCUAACUCCGUGCCAGCAGCCGCGGUAAUACGGAGGGCGCGAGCGUUAAUCGGAAUUACUGGGCGUAAAGGGCACGCAGGCGGUUAAUUAAGUUGGAUGUGAAAUCCCCGGGCUUAACCUGGGAAUGGCAUUCAAGACUGGUUAGCUAGAGUCUUGUAGAGGGGGUAGAAUUCCAUGUGUAGCGGUGAAAUGCGUAGAGAUGUGGAGGAAUACCGGUGGCGAAGGCGGCCCCUGGACAAAGACUGACGCUCAUGUGCGAAAGCGUGGGGAGCAAACAGGGAUUAGAUACC
rnacentral:rRNA from 1 species